rnacentral:tRNA from 1 species
UGGGGCGUAGCCAAGUGGUAAGGCAGCGGUUUUUGGUAUCGCCAUGCGCUGGUUCGAAUCCAGCCGCCCCAGCCA